rnacentral:rRNA from 3 species
GUAGGCCUCAAAUAAUGUGU